rnacentral:lncRNA from 1 species
AAGGACUUCAAGGUUUGUAAUGUGGCUUGGGUAACAAAGAAUGGUCUUAUAUCAAGGUAAUUGAAACAAAACUUGCCUAAUAAAAUGAGAGUGAUCAUUUCUCACAAUCUCAAGCAUUCACAAAUUUCAUUCACCUUUCUCUUAUUGCUCAAAUGUUACACAUUUUCACACAACUUAUUAGCACAAAACUUUUUUGCUAUUUUUUUCUUUUUCAAGUAUUUUUAUUUUUA